GGGAACGGUAUUAGUGCGCAUGCACAGAAAAACGGCGCGAUCAAAAGCUCCGCUUGGAUUGAUGCGAAUUUUCCGCUUUCAGUUGCUCAUGGAAAACGGCGCGUGUAGGUGGUCAAAUAGUUUCGAUCUGUUUAAAUGGAAGAAAAGAGAUUUCUGUUGCGUAGGAGUGAAACUUGAUGGUUUGAUGGCGUUUACAAAGAGGAAAGAUACAGGUAGAGAAAGAAAUAGAUAGAGAAUAAAUAGAUUGACUGAAAAA
rnacentral:lncRNA from 1 species